UACGAAGGGGGCUAGCGUUGCUCGGAAUCACUGGGCGUAAAGGGUGCGUAGGCGGGUUUUUAAGUCGGGGGUGAAAUCCUGGAGCUCAACUCCAGAACUGCCUUCGAUACUGAGAGUCUCGAGUCCGGGAGAGGUGAGUGGAACUGCGAGUGUAGAGGUGAAAUUCGUAGAUAUUCGCAAGAACACCAGUGGCGAAGGCGGCUCACUGGCCCGGUACUGACGCUGAGGUGCGAAAGCGUGGGGAGCAAACAGG
rnacentral:rRNA from 1 species